AAGUAGUACACAAACGCUAUCUUCAAAAGUUCCAAUCUGUCUCCCCCAAAAAGCCUUCAUCAGUUCGCCGGUGAUUACGAUGAAGUCAAACCACCAUCGACGACAUCGGUAAGCUAUGUUUUUCAUUACUAUUCCAACUCUAUUCUACCAUUUUUGUUUAUUUUCUUUAAGAUCUCAGUCAUGCCUUCUGUUUUUCACUCUGCCUGCGCGCCGCUUGGUCUUAUGUAUUCCAUUUCUAGGGUUUCAUAGAAAAUGAAGUUGAGUUCUAUAUUUGUCGAAAGAUCACUUCUUUUGUCUCAAUAAGAAAAUGGCGAUUAUUGUUUCUUGAAUGCUAAUGUUUUUAUUGUUUGUGAGAGCAUCGCCCGUCUUCACUAAGCUCGGCGAGUCGGUGUAGAAGCAAAGAGAAGCAGAGAACGACGGCGGUAUGGGAACGUCGGUUCAGGUGACGCCAGUCUGUGGAGUAUACAACGAGAACCCUCUCUCUUACCUCGUCUCUAUCGACGGUUUCAAUUUCCUCAUCGAUUGUGGUUGGAAUGACCGAUUUGAUACUUCUCUUCUUCAGCCCCUUUCCAGUUAAGGUGUCGGUGAUGCUAACCAACCCUUUCAAAUUAGAGAAGAACACUGGAAAUAAAGUUGGCAAAAUCAAGUUUCAGAGUUUGAUCAAUUCACUUUGGAUGACAUUGAUUCUGCAUUCCAAAAAGUGACCAGAUUAACCUACUCUCAAAACCAUUACAUGUCUGGCAGGAAAAGGAGAAGGGAUUGUUACUACUCCACUGGUAGCUGGUCAUCUGUUGGGAGGUACUACAUGGAAGAUAACAAAAGAUGGGGGAGGAUGUCAUAUAUGCUGUUGACUUCAAUCACCGUAAAGAAAGACAUCUGAAUGGAACUGUUUUACAGUCUUUUGUCCGUCCAGCUGUUCUAAUAACGGAUGCGUUUAAUGCUUUAAACAAUCAACCCUCUAGGCGCCAAAGGGACCAAGAGUUUCUAGAUGCCAUAGAAAAAACUGUAAAUGUUGGGGGAAAUGUAUUACUUCCUGUUGAUACUGCUGGUAGAGUUUUGGAGCUCAUCUUGACAUUGGAACAGCACUGGAUGCAAAAGCAGUUGUCGACUCCCAUCUUCUUCCUCUCAUAUGUAGCGUCAAGUACUGUUGACUAUGCGAAGAGUUUCCUUGAGUGGAUGAGCGAUUCAAUUGCAAAAUCUUUUGAGCACACUCGGACAAUGAUUUUCUAUUAAGGUUGUGAAUGACAUUUGUCUUGUGGCAUCCACUGAAAGGGUAGCAUCCUGUGAUGGGACAGUGCAUGUGUGGAAUGGCCAAACGGGGAAGCUAAUAUCUGUGUUUGCAGAGUUUUCGACAAGCUGUGUGCAACAUACCAGCCCUUUAGCCAAAGCUUCAAAGUUGAACGCAGAACAGGCUAAUAUGCUACAUUUCAAUUCAUUGUCAGGUGGAAUAUUGAACACUUCAUUUGAUGGUUACUUAUACACUAGUAUGCAUUACUAAGAAUAUCUGGACAAUCUUGUUGUGGGUACUGGAAAUGGCUCUCUUAGAUUCAUUGAUGUCAAACAAGGUCAAAAACUUCAUUUAUGAAGGAGUGAAGCUACUGAGUCCAAUUUCCCUUCUCUGAUUUCUUCCAUAUGCUCAUGUGCUUUGACUAAACAGCAAUACGGAAAUCCUCAAUAUCCAUCUUGGGUUGCUGUGGGGCAAAGUUCUGGCUAUUGCAGGUUAUUUGAUGUGAGGAGUGGAAAAAUUAUUUCCUCAUGGCAAGCUCAUGAUGGUUUUGUCACAAAGAUAGCCGCACCAGAAGAACAUUUGCUGGUUUCGAGCUCCCUCGACCGCACCUUAAGGAUUUGGUACUUGAGAAGGUGGAGUAGAUCAAUAAAUAGAAGAUGAAGGCAUUGAAGAUCCAGACCUUAUUUAAGAUGAAUUUUGAAUUGCUAUAGAUGAAUGUUCUAGGAAUCUUUUGUUGUCAACAUUUUGAGACUUACUAUCGUGAAAUGUAUUAAACUUAUGCACUUGGGGUAGAACAUUUACUUUUGUGGAUAUUAUUAGCUUGUUGGACGAGUUAUAUUAUGAAUAGUUUUAUUUUGUGAUUUA